rnacentral:rRNA from 1 species
CCUACGGGUGGCAGCAGUGGGGAAUAUUGGGCAAUGGGCGAAAGUCUGACCCAGCAAUGCCGCGUGAAGGAAGAAGGGUUUCGGCUCGUAAACUUCUAUAAACAGGGAAGAAAAAAAUGACGGUACCUGAAGAAUAAGCCCCGGCUAACUACGUGCCAGCAGCUGCGGUAAUCGGUGGGGGGCAAGCGUUAUCCGGAUUAACGGGGUUUAAAGGGUGGGUAGGCGGCAUUAUAAGCAAGAGGUGAAAGCCUUGGGCUUAACCCGGGGAUUGCAUGGGAAACUGUUAGGCUUGAGUGCAGUAGAGGAAGGCGGAAUUCCUAGUGUAGCGGUGAAAUGCGUAGAUAUUAGGAAGAACACCAGAGGCGAAGGUGGCUUUCUGGACUGAAACUGACGCUGAGGCACGAAAGUGUGGGGAGCGAACAGGAUUAGAUACCCGAGUAGUC